AAAUUACUUAUUUAUUAAAAACUUAUGGAAAGAGGGGAUUAUUAAGAGUUUAUUGACUUGAGAGUUAUUUAUUCAAAACACUAAGAUAGCAGAUAAUUCUAAACACAUCUGAGCAAAACUUGAUAUUUACUGAUUCACCAUGAACACUUAAACAUAUGAACUGUCUAUCGUUUAUACUUCCAAAGUCUGUUUUUAAGGUGUUCAAGCCCUUGAGUUAUUAAGAUUGCAAAUAAUUGGUGAUUGUUAAGUUUUGUUGAAUUAAAUUUAGGUUACAAGUUAAAGUUAAAAACCUUUUAAACCUUUUAACAUCUUUUCAAUUUUCGCGCUUUAAGGUAUCUGGUUAUUUGUGAUUGCAUUUGGAUCCGAUAAACCAGUUGAAUCCUUAUUUUUUGUGGAAGGUCAAAUUAUCCUUGUUUAAUUUAAUUCAGAUCUUUAAUUGUUUCAUUAAUUUCAAGUCAAAAUGAACGCUGCUGCAAGGAGUUUGUUAACUGUUGCCCGUCGAUCACCUCAACAGAUCAGACUUUGCCAUGAAGGGUUCACUUAUAAAGGAGAGAACUUGCCAUUCAGCCUAAAAAAUCGGCGUUUAUUUGCUCUCAAGUUCAUCUUAUAUUGUUCUAUUCCAGUUUGGACACCAUUUUUGAUUAUGAGAUAUAAUCUUAUCAAGAUGCGAUGAUUUUAUCAACAUAAUGUGAUCAGGAUCAUCUAAUGCUGAGCCUCGCUCUAUAGUUUUGAGUUUUAUUGCUGCUUAGUUACCUGAUUACUACUGUUAAAAUUAUGUAAAAUAACAUUCAAUUGGAAAUAAAGAUUAAAUGUAGCUAAGUAAAA